GAUGAACGCUGGCGGCAUGCCUAAUACAUGCAAGUCGAACGAGAGGAAGGAAAGCUUGCUUUUCUGAAUCUAGUGGCGAACGGGUGAGUAACACGUAGGUAACCUGCCCAUGUGCCCGGGAUAACUCCUGGAAACGGUUGCUAAAACCGGAUAGGUAGCAGACAAGCAUUUGACUGCUAUUAAAGUGGCUAAGGCCAUGAACAUGGAUGGACCUGCGGUGCAUUAGCUAGUUGGUGAGGUAACGGCCCACCAAGGCGACGAUGCAUAGCCGGGCUGAGAGGGCGGACGGCCACAUUGGGACUGAGACACGGCCCAAACUCCUACGGGAGGCAGCAGUAGGGAAUUUUCGUCAAUGGGGGGAACCCUGAACGAGCAAUGCCGCGUGAGUGAGGAAGGUCUUCGGAUCGUAAAGCUCUGUUGUAAGAGGAAAACGACAUUCAUAGGGAAUGAUGAGUGAGUGAUGGUAUCUUACCAGAAAGUCACGGCUAACUACGUGCCAGCCGCCGCAGUAACAC
rnacentral:rRNA from 1 species